AGUGAACGCUGGCGGUAGGCCUAACACAUGCAAGUCGAACGGCAGCACAGUAAGAGCUGGCUCUGACGGGUGGCGAGUGGCGGACGGGUGAGGAAUACAUCGGAAUCUACUUUUUCGUGGGGGCUAACGUAGGGAAACGUACGCUAAUACCGCAUACGACCUACGGGUUAAAGCAGGUGAUCUUCGGACCUUGCGCGGUUGAAUGAGCCGAUGUCGGAUUAGCUAGUUGGCGGGGUAAAGGCCCACCAAGGCGACGAUCCGUAGCUGGUCUGAGAGGAUGAUCAGCCACACUGGAACUGAGACACGGUCCAGACUCCUACGGGCGGCAGCCGUGGGGAAUAUUGGACACUGGGCGCACGCCUGCUCCAGCCAUACCGCGUGGGUGAAGAAGGCCUUCGGGUUGUAAAGCCCUUUUGUUGGGCAAGAAAAGCAGCCGGUUAAUACCCCGCUGUUCUGACGGUACCCAAAGAAUAAGCACCGGCUAACUUCGUG
rnacentral:rRNA from 1 species